rnacentral:rRNA from 1 species
UGGGGAAUUUUGGACAAUGGGCGCAAGCCUGAUCCAGCCAUGCCGCGUGCGGGAAGAAGGCCCUCGGGUUGUAAACCGCUUUUGUCAGGGAAGAAAUCUUCUGAGUUAAUACCUCGGGAGGAUGACGGUACCUGAAGAAUAAGCACCGGCUAACUACGUGCCAGCAGCCGCGGUAAUACGUAGGGUGCAAGCGUUAAUCGGAAUUACUGGGCGUAAAGCGUGCGCAGGCGGUUUUGUAAGACAGAGGUGAAAUCCCCGGGCUCAACCUGGGAACUGCCUUUGUGACUGCAAGGCUUGAGUGCGGCAGAGGGGGGAUGGAAUUCCGCGUGUAGCAGUGAAAUGCGUAGAUAUGCGGAGGAACACCGAUGGCGAAGGCAAUCCCCUGGGCCUGCACUGACGCUCAUGCACGAAAGCGUGGGGAGCAAACAGGAUUAGAUACCCUGGUAGUCCACGCCCUAAAACGAUGUCAACUGGUUGUUGGGAAGGUUCCUUCUCAGUAACGUAGCUAACGCGUGAAGUUGACCGCUGGGGAGUACGGCCGCAAGGUUG